AGAAGGAAACACAGGUGGUUGUGUUCUAGCUGGUUGAGGGGUGAUGAGGUAUGACCCACAGCUGAACAGGGCAAACCAGGCAAUCUGUGGAGGGAGGCUGAGCUCAUUGGCUUGAGGUGUAAUGUCACAAACUGUGAGAUUGAGGCUCCUAUGGAACCCAAGGGAAGAAGUGAUGCUCUGGUGCUUUCUGGUGUAUAUCUACUGAUGCUAGGAAAAACUUGCUUCAGUGGUAUCUGCAGAUCAUGCUGGGCUCUGCAGAGUUGGGUGCUCUGUGAUGGCAAAUUGUGGCUGAAUGACUAUGCAGUCAAGAACAACUAUAUGACAAUAAUAAUAAACUGAAGAAAGGAUAUUUCAGGAACCAAAUUCAUCCAAGCAGAUUGUGGAGACAGGAGGAUAUACCCAAGUAUUGUUUUUCCAGCCUGGAAGCUAAGAAAGAGCAGAAUAAUAUGAGCUGAAGAAAACUCUUACUUGAGAGCAUCUCAGUUCAGUUGUGUUUGUACUCAGAGGAGGAAAAAAACCAAACCAAAACAAACAAACAAACAAAAAAAAACAAUGAAAACUCCCCUCCAACUCUUUCUGGAUCCAUUAAGCAUGUCAAGCAAGCAGGAUGAUGCUUUCAUUUGGUUCUCUUCCAAUUUUUCUGUAUAUAUUUUCUUUCUCACCUCUAUAUGUACAAAUAAGCUUGAUAUCUGUCCAGCUCCCAAGUAAAACUAACUCAAACCUGUGUCAUAAUCUCUAGACAAGCUGAUGGGAUCCAGUUUGCUGCAUGAUGUUCUAGUGCCUAAAGCUAUACCUCUAAGGCCAGUCUUCAGCUGUCUCCCUACUACCAACCUCUCCUCUCACUGCAGCAUCUGAUAGAAUGAGCUUGGACAUAAGACAGCUCUUACUAUGCAUACCACUACCAUUUUAGACCUACUGGUCUUCUCAUGGAAUAGCUUCCUACCUCCGUGAGCUUUGUAUUACAUUAUCUGACCCCAGUGCCACUCCUGGAUACCUUUCCUUGUCUCCCAGUUCUAUAACCAGAUUUGAAUCUUCACACCUUCCUUUCAAAUAAAUGGCAUCUCACUC
ensembl:lncRNA